rnacentral:misc_RNA from 1 species
GGAAGGAUCAUUAGUGAACGCCCUCACGGGCUCUAAACUAUUCCACAACCUCUGUGAACCGUUUGCCCCUCGGGGCUUUUUACAAACAUCUGUGUAAUGAACGUUUAAACAUUAACAAAACAAAACUUUCAGCAACGGAUCUCUUGGCUCUCGCAUCGAUGAAGAACGCAGCGAAAUGCGAUAAGUAAUGUGAAUUGCAGAAUUCAGUGAAUCAUCGAAUCUUUGAACGCAUCUUGCGCUCCUUGGUAUUCCGAGGAGCAUGCCUGUUUGAGUGUCAUUAAGACUCAACCCCUCGGGUUUCCGAGAAGGUUGGAUUUGGACGUUUGCCUGUCAUGGGCUCGUCUUAAAGGUCUUAGCGGUUACACAGCACCGUAGUCGGCGUAAUAAGUUUCGUCGAUGAGGGUGUGGUGUCUGCUUACAAUCGCCUCACGGCAAUCUUUUGAC